GGCCUCUGAAUUCAGAGCUUUUCCCAGUUCAAAGGGGACUGUGAUCUUUGGCCAGCAGUUACCUUUUGCAGGCAUUAUGCCCAGGGAUGGGGCUUCAAGUUUGACUCUGAACGCUUCUCUCUUAGUCCCUUUUCCCACAGCGCCCCCAUCACCCUCCCAUUCAGAGGACACAAAGACUGCACAGGCCAGCACAAAGAACCCAUACACAAGAUAAGUAGAGGCCAUUCUGUGGGCCUCUCGCUGCUGGCUCCCGGGGAGGGAGCGCCCCUCCCGCUGCCCGGGGCGCCUGUCUGCAGCCCAGGCUGCCAGGGCACCAUGCCCGCUGCCUGGCGGGCCUUGUCUCGGGACAAUUACAACCUACUGUCACGGAGUUCGGAAUAUAGGUCAAGGUGCUCUCGGAAGGGCCCAGGAGAGGAUCACCUGACCCGGAGGUGUGGUGACUCAGCGGGAAGGAUGGAGAGGGAGGGGCGGCAUUGGAAUCUCCCUGCCGGCUGGGCCUGCAGGAGAAAGAGGAGGUCAAGUUGCCUGUCUGGCUGACUGUCAGCAGAGGAGGAAGAAGCUGCUGGAGACCGAAGGAAGGAUAAGAUGACCUGUGGCGACCUCUCUGAGGUGUCAUCCAAAUCCUCUCCUGAGCAGCUGUCAUCCUGCGAAUAGCUAAAAACCACCCGCCUCCCACUGUCUCUGCGGCUGUGAACACCUCAUUAGCCACCUCCCUGCCAAAGUGAGAAACCAAAUUAACAUCCUGGAUCAAUCCAGACUCCAUCCACCCAGAUCUCAGGAGCAACCAAGGCCACUGGCACAGCUCACAGAGGCAGCCACCCCUGUCAGAGGCAAUCUGAUUGUGUCCCUCCACCCCGACUGAAUAUGAAAAUCACUAACCCAUUUUAUUGUAGAUGUCCACAUGGCAGGAGCCUUCUUUCCGGGGAGAAGCAGCAGCUGCUUGCUCUAUCCCAGCCUCACUUCCUCUGGCUCCAGCUGCUGGUUCCUAUUCGCCAAGCGGGGAGUUUCCUCAUUCUUGGGGCUCUGGCUAGCUGAGCUGGCCACCCUCACCUCCCACCCCCAACCGCUCACCACCCUCUCUGGUAGCUCUGCCGGGACUCCCGGGUUCCAUGAGUCACACACAGCCAGGCUGGAGACAGCCAGCAGCCUUCCUUUAUUAAAUCAGCCUCCUGCCCUGCACACCACAGAGGAAAGCUAUAAUUACUGUUUGGCCCAGCUCUGAGAACUGAGCCACAGACGCUCUUUCACUGGGAGGGAAGUUCCUGAGUUGUGCAUCUAUCUAUGAACCACCACCCCUUUGGUAAUAAGCAGAACUGCCAGGGGUUAAGGACCUGUUACACAAAUAUCAGAUGUUUUGCCUUUGUAAUAGGUGCCUUGGGCUGAGAUACCCAAGGCUGAUACAGCCAGCUAUAAGUGAACUGCCAAAAGUUUGUUGUUGUUGUUUUGUUUAGAAAACAAAGACAUUCUGCUUCUUUGCCAGCGUGUAUAGUUGAUGAGACAGGCCACUCAUUGCUUUAUAAGAGAUAAUGGAAAAGACAGUAAAACAUUGCUUUGGGUGUCCAGGUUAUGGCUGUUUUAUCUUUUAGACCCAAUAGAUACAACAUAUCAGGCUUCUUAGCUUCUUGAUCAAGCUAAAGAAAUGUUUGAAGUAUGAAAAACUAGUUGGCUGAAAAAAAUUUUAAAAGCACAAAAUCAGAAUACUAAAGUCAGUCUUCACAAACUUCUCAGUUUCUCAUUCAUUCAUUCAUUCUUGCAUUUCAGUUAUCCCACAUUUUUUUUGGGGGGGAUGGCCUAUGUGGUGGGCAUCAUGAAUACAAUGAGUGCUAAGUCAACAAGAUAGGACAGAUCAGUAAUAGAUACAAUAAGAAUCUUAUAAAGAAGGAAUUUGUGAACACCUCUUGACAUUUGAGAACAAUCUGUAGGUUAGGUCUAUCUCACAGUGAGUUCUCAAAUCUUUAUGUGAUUACUGAGAAAUUACAACUAAUUAUGACUUAAAUGAGUUAUAUUUGAAAUAUUAAAAUUCCUUUAAGCUUAUAAAGCAAAAUGUGGGAACAUGAGUUAAAACAAAACAAAAAAACAAAAACAAAAAACAAAAGAGCCAAAGGCAUUUGGCCCUUCCUAUGGUUACAGACAGAAGAAACUUCAUUGAAGAAUUUACUCAGGGGGUGGGGGUGGGGCUGCUCUUGCAGAGAACUUGAGUUCAAUUCCCAGAGCCCACCUCUAUCCAGCUGCAGGGGAUUUGAUGCCUUCUUCUUGCCUUCACAUGUACACACACACACACACACACACACACACACACACACACACACAGAUAUAGUUGGACAUAGAGGUGCUUGUCUUUAAUACCAGCACUAAGAAGAGAGAGGCAGGCAAAUCUCCCUUAACUUUGAAGCCAGCCUGGUUUACAUAGUUGUAGGUUAGCCAUGGCUACAUUGUAAAACCCUGUCCCCAAAUAAAUUAAAAAAAACAAAACACAACACAACAACAACAACAACAAAAACCUGGGCUGGACUGAUGGCUCAGAGGUUAAGAAUACUUGCUGUUCUUCCAAAGGUCCUGAGUUCAAUUCCCAGCAACCACAUGGUGGCUCAUAACCAUCUAUAGUAAGAUCUGGUAUACAGGCAGAAUAUUGUAUAAAUAAUAAAUAACUCUUUUAAAAACAAAAAGCUUAAACCGUUGAAAAAGAACUUAUUUGGCACCUGUCCUACAAUUGUUAAGAACUUCAGUGUCAAGUACAGAGCCUGGCUUUAUCAUUUACUGCUUUUGUGAUUCUGGAAAAGAUUCUGUACUUUCACCCCUAUCUAUAAAAUGGGGAGUUAAAUGCAACCUACCUUCUAGGGCUUAUGAGUGGAUGAGUGAUAUAAUAAUAAGAGAAGAGGGGUUAUUUAACAUAGCACCUGGCACUUAGUAAACGGAAUAAGUGUUAUCCAUAAUUAUUGUGUUAUUUUUGUUUUCACGGAGAUAAUGAAGAGCUACCAGCCACUAUAGUAGAUAAUACAGAGUCAGCUUAAAUGAGAGAAUGAUGCGGUGCCAACUGGGAGAGACCUCACAGGCAUAUUGUGCUUCAUUCAAUUCUCAAGGUCCCCAGUGAACCACCAACGGCUGCAAAUCUUAUUCCGACAGUCAGUAAACACAACGUGAACACAUCGACUUACCUUUUAGUACCCUUCCUAUUGGGAAGAGUACCAAGCAAUGAAAGGAUACAAAUCAACAAGGUCAUUGCUAUCUGAAUUGUAAAUUGGUUAAAUUCAUACUGUUUUUCCAAGAGACCUGUAUAAAAAUCCCAGAUCAACUCAUUCAUCGUAAUGGAAAGCUGGUGAUGCAGCUGUCCAUUGGUGGGAGAAUAACUAUGCAUGGAACAUAAGAGGAACUACAACGGAACAGCAGAAACAAAUGGAACACGACUCUACACAACAGCAUGCAUGAAUUCUACCAGCCUAGCAGUAUAAGGGAAGCAUGCAUUCCAGAAAGCUACAUGUAAUGGGGUAUUCUUCUAAGAGAGGGGGGGGAAACCCAAAACAGUAUUUCGUUUAGAAAAAUGUAUGAAAUAAAAACAAAAGAAUAAAAGCAAA